rnacentral:piRNA from 1 species
UAAUGGAGCAGGUGAAAGUGCAGAUCGCC